UACCCGCUGAACUUAAGCAUA
rnacentral:rRNA from 2 species